UGGCUAAUGAUGAUAAAUUUUAUAUCUUAGCGGAUUUCAGUGAGAAUUUAUGUACGAUCUGAAUGUUACACACACAGAAGCCU